rnacentral:rRNA from 1 species
UUGACGGGGGCCCGCACAAGCGGUGGAGUAUGUGGUUUAAUUCGAUGCAACGCGAAGAACCUUACCUGGUCUUGACAUCCCGGAGACCCUUAGGAAACUAGGGGGUGCUUCCAUCUGGAGAAUCUGGAGACAGGUGCUGCAUGGCUGUCGUCAGCUCGUGUCGUGAGAUGUUGGGUUAAGUCCCGCAACGAGCGCAACCCUUGCCUUUAGUUGCCAGCAGUUCGGCUGGGCACUCUAAAGGGACUGCCGGUGUUAAACCGGAGGAAGGUGGGGAUGACGUCAAGUCCUCAUGGCCUUUAUGACCAGGGCUACACACGUACUACAAUGGCCGAUACAAAGGGCAGCGACACUGCGAGGUGAAGCCAAUCCCGUAAAAUCGGUCUCAGUCCGGAUUGGAGUCUGCAACUCGACUCCAUGAAGUUGGAAUCGCUAGUAAUCGUGGAUCAGCAUGCCACGGUGAAUACGUUCCCGGGCCUU